UUUUUGUUUUUUUUUAGAUUUCACAUAUGAUAAAAAUAAUACAGUGUUUGACUUUCUCUGUCCGACUUAUUUUUUCUUUCUUUUCAGGGCCGCAUGGCAUAUGGAAGUUCCCAGGCUAAGAGUUGAGUUGGAGCAGCCACUGUGGGCUAGGUCACAGCCACAGCAACUCGGCCUCUGCAAUCUAUGCCCUAGCUCAUGGCAACACUGGAUCUUUCACCCACUGAGCGAGGCCAGGGAUCAAACCUGCAUCCUCUUGGAUACUAGUCGGGUUCUUAGCCCACUGAGCCACAACAGGAACUCCCCUGUCUGACCUUUUUCAUUAAGCAUAAUACCCUCUAAGUCCACUUGUACUGUUGCAUGUGGCAAGAUUUCAUUCUUUUUUGUAGCUGAAUCAUAUUCCAUUGUAUGUAUAUAGGUGCACAUAUAUACUACAUACCAUAUCUGCUUUAUUCUUUCAACUAUUGGGGCACCCAAGUUGCUUUCAUAUCUUUCCUAUUAAUAAAUAAUGCUGCAGUGAACAUAAGGGUGCACAUACCUUUCUAAUUAGCAUUUUUGUUUUCUCUGGAUAAAUACGCAGGAGUGGAAAGGCUGGAUCAUAUGGUAGUUCUAUUUUUAAUUCUUUGAGGAAUCUCCAUACUGUUUUCCAAAGUGGCUGCACCAAUUUACAACCUCAUCAGUAGUGCACAAGAGUUCCCUUGUCUUCACAUCCUCACCAACAUCUGCUAUUUGUGGUUGAUUUAAUAAUUGCUAUUCUGACAGGUUGUGAGGUGAUAUCUCACCGUGGUUUUGAUUUGCAUUUCCCUGAUGAUUAGUGAUGCUUGGCACCUUUUCAUGUACCUUUUUGCCACCUGUAUGUUUCCUUAGGAAUAAUGUCUCCUCAGAUCAUCUGUCCGUUUUUUUUUUUGUUGUUGUUGUUGUUUUGUUUUUUUUUUUUUUUAGGGCUGGACCCUUGGCAUAUGGCGGUUCCCAGGCUAGGGGCUGAAUCGGAGCUACAGCUGCUGGCCUGCGCCAGAGCCACAGCAACACCAGAUUUGAGCCACGUUUGCGAUCUACAUCACAGCCCAUGGCAAGGGCCAGGGAUCCUUAACCCACUGAGCGAGGCCAGGGAUCAAACCCACAACCUCAUGGCUCCUAGUGGGAUUAGUUUCCACUGAGCCACAAAGGGAACUCCCCUCUGUCCAUUUUUAAAUUGGGUUGUUUAGUUUAUUUGAUGUGGCAUUAUAUGAGUUCUUUGUAUAUUUUAGAUUUAAAGCCUUUAUUGGAUACACAGUUUGCAAAUAUCUUCUUCUAUUCAGUAGGUAGCUUUUUCAUUUUGUUGACAAUGAAAUUAUGCAAAAGCUUUAUCAUUUCAUGUAGUCUCAUUUGUACAUUAUUGCUUUUGUUUCCCUUGCCUGAGGACACACAUCCAAAAAUUAUAGCUAGGACUAAUGUGAAAAUGCAUACUAUGUUUUCUUCUAGAAAUUAUAUGAUUUCAGGUCUUACACUUAAGUCUUCAAUCUAUUUUGAGUUUUUAUACAUAAAAGUUGAAAGUUGUCCAGUAAUUUUGCAUGUAGUUAUCCAAUUUUCCCAACAUCCUCUAUUGAAGAGGCUGUCUUUUCCCCAUUGUAUAUCCUUGCCUCCUUUGUCAUAGAUUAACUUCUCAUACACAAGAGGGUUCAUCUCUGGGCUCUCUAUUCUGUUCCAUUUAUUUAUGUUUCUACUUUUGAGCCAGUACCAUACUGUUUUGAUUACCAUAGCUUUUAGUAUAGUUUGAAAGCUGGUGCAUGAUAUCUCCAGCUUUGUUCUUCUUUCUCAAUAUUGUUUUGGGUGUUUGGGGUCUCCUGGGUUUCUAUACAAAUUUUAGAAUUGUUUGUUCUAGUUUUGCAAAAUAUGCCAUUAGUAUUUUUAGUUCAUAGAGAUUGCACUGAAUCUGUAGAUUGCCUUGAGUAGUAUGGACAUUUUAACAAAAUUCACUCUUCCAAUCUGUGUGCAUGGUGUAUCUUUCCAUCUGUGUCAUCUUCAACUUCUUUCGUCAGUGUCUUACAGUUUUCUGAGUAUAGGUCUUUUAUGCCCUUAGUUAGGUUUACUUCUAGGUAUUUUAUUCUUUUUGAUGUAAUUAUAGGUGGAAUUAUUUUCAUAAUUUCUUAGUAUAAUUCAUUCUUGGUAUAUUUAAAUGCAACCAAUGUCUGUAUUUUAAUUUUGUAUCCCACACCUUUACCAAAUUCAUCAAAGAGUUCUAGAAGUUAUUUGGUGACAUCUUGAGGAUUUUCUUUGUAAAGUGUCAUGUCAUCUGAAAACAGCUAGUUUUAAGUUUUACUUCUUCAUUUCCAAUUUGAAUUCUUUUUAUUUAUCUUUCUUGUCUGAUUGCUAUGGCUGGAACUUACAAUACUGUGUUGAAAAAAAAACUGGUGAGAGUGGGCAUCCUUGUCUUGUUCCUAAAUUUAGAAGAAAUGCUUUCAGCUUAUCACUCUUGAGUAUGAUGUUAGUCAUAAAUGGCCUUUACUAUGUUGAGAUAUGUUCUCUUUUUACCCACUUUGUUGAGAAUUUUUAUCAUAAAUGGAUGUUGAAUUUUGUCAGAUACUUUUCCUACAUCUAUUAAGAUGCAUCUAUUGAUAUGAGAUGAUCAUAUGAUUUUUAUUCUUUAUUUUGUCAAUGUGGUGUAUCACACUGAUUGAUUUGCAGAUACUGAACCAUCCUUGCAUCCCUGGGAUAAAUUCCGCUUCAUCAUGGUAUAUGAUCCUCUUAAUGUAUUGUUCAAUUUGAUUUGCUAAUAUUUGUUGAGGAUUUUUGCAUCUAUGUUCAUCAGUGAUAUUAACCUUAAUUUUCUUUUUGGUGAUGUCUUCAUCUGUUUUUAGCAUGAGGGUUAAGCUUGCCUUAUAGAAUGAGACUUCUAUGAUUUUUGAAUAGUUUGAGAAGCAUAGACGUUUACUUUUCUCUAAAUGUUUUGUUGAAUUCACCUGUGAAUUUUAUAUAUUAAUUUUGUAUUACUCAUGAGCAUUUCCCACAACCUUAAAUAUUUUCCAAAAACAUGAAUGUUAACAGAUGUAUAAGGUCAUAUUAUUGAUAUUUUAUUUAAUCAUUUUUUAUACUGAUUUUUUUUGGUUGUUUUCUAUUUUUCCUCUUUAUAGAUAAUGCCUUGAUAAAUAUCCUUUGACUAUGUCUUGGAUUACUUUCUUUCUUUCUUUCUUUCUUUUUUGCUUUUUAGGGCUGCACCUCACAGUAUAUGGAGGUUCCCAGGCUAGCGGUUGAAUCAGAGCUACAUUGCUGGUCUACACCACAGCCAUAGCAACUCAGGAUCUGAGCCUCGUCUGCAACUUACACCAUAGCUCAAGCAACAACAGAUCCCUGACCCACUGAGCAGGGCCAGGGAUCGAAUCCACAACCUCAUGGUUACUAGUCAUAUUCGUUUCCACUGCGCCACAAUGGGAACUCCUGGAUUACUUUCUUGGUCUAAAUUGAUGAAAAUGGGACUACUGGGUUAAAGUACAUAAACAUUUUUAAAGCUAAGUUA
ensembl:lncRNA